AGAAAGAGAGAGAGAGAGAGAGAAACAAUUCCUGUUACAACACUGUGGAAAAGACAAAAACAAUAAUUUUUCUAACAGAGAGGGAGAUUUAAGACAACAACAACAAACCAGUUUUCCAUAAGAGAGAAAAAAGAAGAUAACAAACCAGUACACCAUGUGGAGUCCAAAACAAUCACAACCACACUCUUAAUUCCUUACAUUUUGCUACUGUAUCCCUGCUAGACAUGACAAACACUUGAUACAUACACUUGGUGCUGAAACCAACACCUACAAUAUUUCAACCUCAUUUUACCAAGGCCCCCAAUGCACUAGUGAGGAAUUCCUAUGGCCAUAUAGCAAAUUCAGCUAUCUUCCAUGAAUGCUCCCCCUCCUUGUUCUUAGCAGCUUCAUAAGAAUGGUUGUCAUUUUGCAAAGAUAUAUUAUUGAGGCAACUGCUUUUUGGGUUCAUAAAGCCACAUUUGAGAGCAUCAUGGUUGGUGAAGAACUCCUGACUGAGCAUGUCAAAGCUCCCAUGGCCUUCAAUCAAAGCCUGGAAAAACAUCACAAGUGAAGCCAUGGUUUCAAGAUUGUUAUGCCUUCUAUUCCUUUAUAUAAUCUAAGCUAUGUGCUCAUGUAUAUGUAUGUGUGCGCGCAUAUAUUUUGGGUGUGUUUAUUGGACUCUCGAUGGAGCAUAUUGUACACUUACUCCCUUGAGGAAAAUAGCUAUUUAGGAUGAUUAUUUUAACAAUAUUUUUGGAUCUACUUUCGAAUCAAUGACUAUUCUUUGAUAAACAAAUAUGGUUUUUGACUUUGUUUAAAUCUUAUGUUUUCG
rnacentral:lncRNA from 1 species